rnacentral:rRNA from 1 species
AGGUGAUAUGAACCGUUAUAACCGGCGAUUUCCGAAUGGGGAAACCCAGUGUGUUUCGACACACUAUCAUUAACUGAAUCCAUAGGUUAAUGAGGCGAACCGGGGGAACUGAAACAUCUAAGUACCCCGAGGAAAAGAAAUCAACCGAGAUUCCCCCAGUAGCGGCGAGCGAACGGGGAGGAGCCCAGAGCCUGAAUCAGUGUGUGUGUUAGUGGAAGCGUCUGGAAAGGCGCGCGAUACAGGGUGACAGCCCCGUACACAAAAAUGCACAUGCUGUGAGCUCGAUGAGUAGGGCGGGACACGUGGUAUCCUGUCUGAAUAUGGGGGGACCAUCCUCCAAGGCUAAAUACUCCUGACUGACCGAUAGUGAACCAGUACCGUGAGGGAAAGGCGAAAAGAACCCCGGCGAGGGGAGUGAAAAAGAACCUGAAACCGUGUACGUACAAGCAGUGGGAGCCUCUUAAUGGGGUGACUGCGUACCUUUUGUAUAAUGGGUCAGCGACUUAUAUUCUGUAGCAAGGUUAACCGAAUAGGGGAGCCGAAGGGAAACCGAGUCUUAACUGGGCGUUAAGUUGCAGGGUAUAGACCCGAAACCCGGUGAUCUAGCCAUGGGCAGGUUGAAGGUUGGGUAACACUAACUGGAGGACCGAACCGACUAAUGUUGAAAAAUUAGCGGAUGACUUGUGGCUGGGGGUGAAAGGCCAAUCAAACCGGGAGAUAGCUGGUUCUCCCCGAAAGCUAUUUAGGUAGCGCCUCGUGAAUUCAUCUCCGGGGGUAGAGCACUGUUUCGGCAAGGGGGUCAUCCCGACUUACCAACCCGAUGCAAACUGCGAAUACCGGAGAAUGUUAUCACGGGAGACACACGGCGGGUGCUAACGUCCGUCGUGAAGAGGGAAACAACCCAGACCGCCAGCUAAGGUCCCAAAGUCAUGGUUAAGUGGGAAACGAUGUGGGAAGGCCCAGACAGCCAGGAUGUUGGCUUAGAAGCAGCCAUCAUUUAAAGAAAGCGUAAUAGCUCACUGGUCGAGUCGGCCUGCGCGGAAGAUGUAACGGGGCUAAACCAUGCACCGAAGCUGCGGCAGCGACACUAUGUGUUGUUGGGUAGGGGAGCGUUCUGUAAGCCUGUGAAGGUGGCCUGUGAGGGUUGCUGGAGGUAUCAGAAGUGCGAAUGCUGACAUAAGUAACGAUAAAGCGGGUGAAAAGCCCGCUCGCCGGAAGACCAAGGGUUCCUGUCCAACGUUAAUCGGGGCAGGGUGAGUCGACCCCUAAGGCGAGGCCGAAAGGCGUAGUCGAUGGGAAACAGGUUAAUAUUCCUGUACUUGGUGUUACUGCGAAGGGGGGACGGAGAAGGCUAUGUUGGCCGGGCGACGGUUGUCCCGGUUUAAGCGUGUAGGCUGGUUUUCCAGGCAAAUCCGGAAAACCAAGGCUGAGGCGUGAUGACGAGGCACUACGGUGCUGAAGUGACAAAUGCCCUGCUUCCAGGAAAAGCCUCUAAGCAUCAGGUAACAUCAAAUCGUACCCCAAACCGACACAGGUGGUCAGGUAGAGAAUACCAAGGCGCUUGAGAGAACUCGGGUGAAGGAACUAGGCAAAAUGGUGCCGUAACUUCGGGAGAAGGCACGCUGAUAUGUAGGUGAAGCGACUUGCUCGUGGAGCUGAAAUCAGUCGAAGAUACCAGCUGGCUGCAACUGUUUAUUAAAAACACAGCACUGUGCAAACACGAAAGUGGACGUAUACGGUGUGACGCCUGCCCGGUGCCGGAAGGUUAAUUGAUGGGGUUAGCGGUAACGCGAAGCUCUUGAUCGAAGCCCCGGUAAACGGCGGCCGUAACUAUAACGGUCCUAAGGUAGCGAAAUUCCUUGUCGGGUAAGUUCCGACCUGCACGAAUGGCGUAAUGAUGGCCAGGCUGUCUCCACCCGAGACUCAGUGAAAUUGAACUCGCUGUGAAGAUGCAGUGUACCCGCGGCAAGACGGAAAGACCCCGUGAACCUUUACUAUAGCUUGACACUGAACAUUGAGCCUUGAUGUGUAGGAUAGGUGGGAGGCUUUGAAGUGUGGACGCCAGUCUGCAUGGAGCCGACCUUGAAAUACCACCCUUUAAUGUUUGAUGUUCUAACGUUGGCCCCUAAUCGGGGUUGCGGACAGUGUCUGGUGGGUAGUUUGACUGGGGCGGUCUCCUCCUAAAGAGUAACGGAGGAGCACGAAGGUUGGCUAAUCCUGGUCGGACAUCAGGAGGUUAGUGCAAUGGCAUAAGCCAGCUUGACUGCGAGCGUGACGGCGCGAGCAGGUGCGAAAGCAGGUCAUAGUGAUCCGGUGGUUCUGAAUGGAAGGGCCAUCGCUCAACGGAUAAAAGGUACUCCGGGGAUAACAGGCUGAUACCGCCCAAGAGUUCAUAUCGACGGCGGUGUUUGGCACCUCGAUGUCGGCUCAUCACAUCCUGGGGCUGAAGUAGGUCCCAAGGGUAUGGCUGUUCGCCAUUUAAAGUGGUACGCGAGCUGGGUUUAGAACGUCGUGAGACAGUUCGGUCCCUAUCUGCCGUGGGCGCUGGAGAACUGAGGGGGGCUGCUCCUAGUACGAGAGGACCGGAGUGGACGCAUCACUGGUGUUCGGGUUGUCAUGCCAAUGGCACUGCCCGGUAGCUAAAUGCGGAAGAGAUAAGUGCU